UUAAAUAUGUUUUUCGUCCCUUAAGUAUCACACGAUUUUGGAUUUAGUCCUUGUUUGAAACAUUGGUGGCUUUUAGUCCUCAUAGUUUUAAAACUAUUACUUUUAAUCCUUAAAAUUAGACGGAGUUAACUUUUAUUUGACGUGGCAAACGGGGAACCACGUGUUAUGUGACUUUCCCUGUGCCACGUUGCUUUUCUUCUUCUUUUUUUUAUCCUCCUCGUCUCUUCCACUCUCACCUCCUUCGUUUCCACCCCCAACGACUCCCUCCGCUCCUCCACCGGCGACACAUUCUUUGUGACCUCCGUCGACUCCGUCUGUUCCUCCACUGUCCACUGCUUCGACUUCAUCCCCGUCGUCAACCAAACCACUUCACCGUCUAGUUCUCCUCCCUCACCGGGGUCUCCACCAUGCCACCUAGUAGCUAUGGCAACGGUGGUAGCACUCUAAGUCCACCGUCUCAGAGUUCGCCUUUUCCUCAGAUCGAGUCCAACCACGCCUUCGCCUCUGCCAUUGUCUUCAAUAAAAUUUUGUAACACUGCGGUCACAGACCGAUCGUACGACGGGAUCUAGCCAUUUGCAGCAUUUCCUGAAUCAACUGAUCCAUACUAAUUCCCAGUGGUUUGAUUCGCGAGAUUAGCAACGGUAGCCAUGUCAAAUCAAAAUGAGAUUUGGUGCUCCU
rnacentral:lncRNA from 1 species